AGAGAAAGGAGACGAAAAACAAGAAGAGCUCAGCUUUAAAAAAGGAUCACGACGUAGAAAAAGACACAACACUGAAGAUUGUCAUGGGUCUUUAAGAAAAGGAAAUUUGAGACGGCUAAAACGCCGAACAGUGUGGAGUUUGGGGAAGAGAUGUGGCUAAAGACAGCGCAUUUGCUUCCUGAAUGAUGGUCCCACUCAGCCAUCCACCUAUACUUUCUACAAAGUCAAUUUAUACUGAUUCUUCAGAUCAGUUAAUCACUGGUACGUUUCCCCUCCCCGGUCAAGGAUCUUUUAUUAUACGCUAUCAUAGAAUCAUAUUCCUUUCCUUAGCGCACUUCUCUCAACUGAUAAGUGCCGCCAUUAAUGUACUUACUUGAUAAAUAUAUGCCUGCCUUUCCUCUUCCAGGGCCGAAACUGUGCCUGGUUUUGCUCAUCAUUCUAUAGUCUAUAGCACGAGUUCAAUAAACAGUUGUUAAAGCAACAUAUUUAACUUACAUUUUGUUCCCAUCUCUUCACUCAGAGACUUUUCUUUGGAUUGGGAAGGGUAAAAUAUCCGAAGAUUUGAACUCCAAAAGAAACAAAAUGAUUCUAUGCAAACGUUUCCUACUUAAAACUCAUUCAUUGGACAAAUAUUCACUUAGUCCCUGGCACUAUUUGGUAAUAGGAAUACAGGAGUGCAUAUGGCAGAUAAAGUUCUGUUGCUGCCCUUACCAAGUUUCGUGGGGGUGAGAUGUGGUGUUAGUAAAUGCAUACUAUUUUGUCUGUAUUUAAAUCGAGUCCAAAUCUCUCGCUCUACAGCCCGCCUUGGGAUGUUUCUUAUAUCCCAAGAAACAGAAUAUUUUGAUGGGAUCGCUGAUGUUUCAGACUGCAAAAGCAGCUCAGGGCGUUUGCAGUCGUGCAAGUCAACAAGAUAACCGUCUGGACCGGAAGCUGGGCUCCUCCCGGUCUCCUAACGCCAAAUCCAACACCAAGCUUCUGCAGCUGCCACCUCCCGUAGACUUCGCAUUUCUUCCGCACUCUCCUCUCACGACGGGUCUUCUUUGUUGUACUUAAUUUCCUACGCAAUAAGAUUUCAGCAUGACCAUCAGUCCCCCAAAGACUAAUUCCCACAGAGCCGAAGUUCCCACCAAGGGCCGAGGGUUAAGGUUACUAAAAUCAGCGUUUCUGAAUCCUGUCUCAAGUUGUCUCAUCUGGGCUUCCGUAAGAACGGUUUCUUCAUAAGAGGGCCUUCAGCGACAGCCAAGCUC
rnacentral:lncRNA from 10 species